CGCAAAUCAGCCACAAGGCAUUGCAACGGGCACGUUCAGUGGGCUGCGCGGCCGUUGCAACGAGCUGCAUUGCUGAUUCUUCGCUUGCCUGAGACUGGCAAUUGUCGAGCGGGUUGCAUCCGUUGUUACGUUGGCCGAAGACAGCAGUAAAAGUGAUCUGCAGAUAGCACGAAUGCCAGCAAUCGUGCAAAGUAGGAGUCCAAAGGGGGACAUGGUUGGUGUGGGUGAAAGCAACGUGUCAUUGUGGUUAAAAAAGAUGAAUCAAUAUACAUGUGAUAUAACUGUCAAAGCCGG
rnacentral:lncRNA from 1 species